AUUAAGAAGCUCAUAAAUGAAUUAUACUAAUUUGUCUUACUUAGUUUUAGUCAAACUCAACGAAAAUAAGCCCAUAAAAUCUCGAUCUCUAAAAACUCAAGCCCAUGUCGAGCAGUAAAGCAAUGUUGCGACUCCACCUGUCUUGCACGUGUUGUCUUCCCAGUAGGAUAGUAUUGUUCGCAGCAGAGAAAAAGCAACGCGUCUCUGUCCUUGGGAUCGUUAGAUCGAGCUAUUCCUCACCCCAAGGACUAUCGAAACGAUUUUCCCGUCCGUUCCCCUUUCCACUUUCGGAAUAGGUUUAAAUGAUAGAAAAAAAGUUUGUUCGGACAAAACAGUGAAAGAUAUCUGGGCGUUUCAAUUUGAAAUGGGCCUCAAAUCUGGAUAUUUUUCGUCCCUCCCCCCCAAAAAAAAAAAUUAAUUGAAAACCCUAUGAAUCUCCAAUAUUUUUUCUAUUUUGCUUCAUGGUGAGAGGAGAAUUUUUUUUUCGGAUAAGAAAUUUUUUUGAGAAAGUUGGAAAAAAAUAGGCAAAAAUAGAGAAAAUUUGGAUCAAUGUAGAAAUAAAAAUGAUAGUUUUGUAUUCUCUGAGUUUCUAAGGCUACUGUUUGGAGUUCGAGUUUCUCGUUGUAGCUUCAGUCUUUGCGGUUGAAUAGUUCACUUCUAUCUCGUGGUUUUAUUCCAAUUUCGCUGCCUAAAAGAAGUUUAGGUUUGGUCCAUUGAUGAGAUUCGUGUCUACUGGAGAAGAAGACUUGGAUCUUUCCUAAGUCAAUUGGUGAGUCCUAUUGAGUUCCAAGGAUAGAGUUACUCUUCAAGUUGAGACUUCAUUGUAGCCUAUAUGGACAUAUUGUAAUAGACUAAGGGCUAUGCCCAAACUAUUGUAAUUCAUACUCUUGUAGAUAGUUUAAUGUGAGACAAAGUAUUAGACUAAAUUCCUAAAUGUUGGUUAUGUUGUCUAUUACAAAAGCCUAAGUAAGCUUAUUAUGUGAGGAGUCUAUGUAAACUCCUUAUGUAUAUAUAUUAUGUGUAAGCGGAAA